UGCAGAUAGAGGUUUAAAGUUGGCCACCUUUGUUGGAAAAGAAAAAUAAGAAAAGGAGUAGCCAAUUGCCAUUACUGACCAUAUUCUCUUAGAACUCAUAAGAAGGUCUUAAUGUACCACAUUUCGUCCAGACAAUAUUAACCCAUUCUACUUCAGCAUGAAGCCUACUUGAAUUGAACUAAGAGAAUGAAAACCUAUUUUCUCUUUCCUUUUUUCCUGUUUUGUAUUGUCCUUUUUCGCCACACUUGCAACAAUGCAUAACUCAGAAUUAAACCACAAUAAACAAACCCACAUUGAAAAUUUUUCAGAUGAGUAGUAUAAAAUAAAAAAGGAGUUUGAAAAACCUAUUUAAUAAAGGUGCUCAUUUCCUUUAAGUGUUCUUCUUGCUACCUGAACGUGAUAAUCUCAAGUCCAACGAUUGCAAUUGGUUCCGUAGGGUUUGGUUCUCCUCAAGUAAGCGAUCAUACUCCAGAAGGAAUCCUUCAGAUUGCUUCCUCAGAGCUACCGCAUUUGCUUCUGAAGCAUGAGCCUCUUUAGUCUUCACCUCCAGUUCUGAUUCUAGCUGCUUAAGUUUUGCUUGCAGUGUGAUCACUUCUUUUUCCAGGGCUUUGCUCUCCUCAACUUUUCCAUCCUCGAAAACUUGAUUUUGUUUCUUUACAGCCUCCAUGCUCUUCCUCCUUACGCGGAGUUCUCUGAUAUAAUGAUGCAGUCUGUCUAUCAUUAGUGCAAGGAAAAGAGAGGAUCCUGCAAAAAGUCUAGAUUAAUAAAGGUCCAAUGGCCAAUAAGAUCGACAGAAAACAGGGAAUUUGAAAUAGAAACAGGAACCCUUAACCAUAGGACUCAAAAUAAAAUCUCAAAGAAACAGAACAAAGAGUUCAACAGAUUAUGGAAAAACAAAAAAUCUCCACAUGCAGAAAUAUAGCGAAUUAUUAUUGUACAGAAAAUUAUUCUCGAGAAUAAGAAAGAGUAAGAAUAAUAUCACAAGCUUUUUAACAAAUGUAACAUUCAUAGGUUUUGUUUGGCAAUGCCAUUGAAAGUGCUAUUGAGAAAACACACUUCUUUAAAUUGUUAGUUAGAGGGUAUUAAAAAUUAAUUUAAAAUUAA
rnacentral:misc_RNA from 1 species